ACGUCCUUAAUUUGAAAAAGGAAUGCGCUCGUUUUUCGCCGUUAAAUGUUGCAGCCUAAUUUUGGAUCGAGAAUUAAGUGCGACGAAGAUGGCCGUUAAUAAUAGUUCUACUACUUUAAGAACACGGUUCAGAUUUGGAUAACGACUUCGAAGGCAUUCGCAGGAGACCAAACAGAGAAAGAGAGGGAGACACAAAACCACCUGUCUCGGUGUCACACAUGAGGAGUUGAGGAGGAGAUGAAGUCAGUGAAUAUGACCUGGCCUGGGGGAGUUUCCAGAAGAAGGCCCAGAAUCGCUGGAUGCCAGGAGUGGAGAUCCUUCGUUGCUGCCCUACAUGAUAGGAGGCAUCGGGCAGUAGAUGCUGUAAUUUGAAACGGAAGGUGUCCUGCCAAUAAAUUUUCAUCCCACCUGAACUGCCUUGCCUGCCUGCACCCAGUCAUCUGUUCCUGAGCAUUUUCAUUUUCCUCUAUUUUUCAUCACCCUUUGUUUCGGCCUGUAUGAAGUGAAUUUCACAUUGAUUGGUGGAGCUGCUAAGUUGGCAUUACAGGGCCACGCCGGGGUAUGAUCCUUUGGGUUGAACAUCAUGACUGCUAGUUGGUCGGCAAAGGUGAUGGGAUCGAUCAAUGUCACAUGGAGUAAGAUCGAUACCAAUCUGCUUUGCUACAUUUCGAACAAUCUCAUACGGAUACGGAUAUUAUUGCGACAGGAGUACUGCUCGAUGUGGUCAAGCCUAUUUGACAAAGCAUUAUGGUGUUAGUCAUGUUAUCAGAAACCGAUUUUUCAAAAUCACGGAGUUGCUUCAAUUUAGUAUCGAUAGAUAUUUCAAGAACGUGUAGACUAGUGAGCUUUUCAUCAAGAAUUUCACGCAAUUUAUUUUCGUGCUUAUCCAUGUCAUCAUUGAGUUUUUGUCUCUCGCGUUCCAUUGCCACGGCCACCGCUCUUUGAACGACUGUAUCAAUAUGAUCUAGGUAUGCUGGGCUUUGUUUAGAUCCAGUUAAUGAUGAAGCAGAGGAUUGUGUACAUGCGUUAGCCGAGUGCAAGCGGCCUCUUGAUCUGGUGGAAAUCUUAGACAUGUUAGAGAUUACGUAAUGAUAUAAUUGAAAAGUGGGAUGGGCUGCGCAUCUGCCAACUCACCAGUCAACCAAUUAGAGACGGCCUUCCAAAGUGACACAGCACGAAAAUAUCAAUAUGGGACUGGUCUAGUCAACACAUAGAUCCUGAAAAAACCAUGGAGACCGCAGAUGCAAAAUGACUUCCAUACAUAAAGAUAUGAUGCACAAUCUCCAGUGGGUUCAAAACACUGAACACAUACUAUGCUGAUACACAGACUAUCAUAAGAACUUUAUCAAGCUAAGGAAAUCUGGUAUGAAAUCUCUCAGCUCACAUAAAAAGCCUACGUAGCUACAUGUAGGGAAGAAAAUGCGUAAUUGCUGAGAAAUGAGCAAAAUAAGCAUGUAAUUCUAUCAAAUGUCAGGUAUUUUUCGAAUCGAUUAUAAUACACUGUCCCACAUAUGCUUUUCUGUGUUUACAGCGAUCAUCAGAAUUAUCGAUUUUAAGUUAAAAAAUUCAUGAUUUUACAAAGAUACAAGUUUACAUUAAUGUACCAGAUGUAGAUUAUGUACAAUAUAUUGACAAUUAACUUUGAUUUUAUAGAUUUUUUCAAGAAAUAAUUGUUUGCUGCAACUACUGUCUUUUCCUUCUACAUGUAAGUGAUAGUGUAAUACAACAGUUCCACAAACUAUUUUCAUCAGACUUAUUGAUGCAUGAUUCUUUCACCCAAAUGCAAGCUUCCAUAAAUCCUGAAAACUUUGAACUCAGGUAUUUUUUUUUUU